rnacentral:rRNA from 1 species
AUUGAACGCUGGCGGCAGGCCUAACACAUGCAAGUCGAGCGGAUGAAGGGAGCUUGCUCCUGGAUUCAGCGGCGGACGGGUGAGUAAUGCCUAGGAAUCUGCCUGGUAGUGGGGGAUAACGUCCGGAAACGGGCGCUAAUACCGCAUACGUCCGGAGGGAGAAAGUGGGGGAUCUUCGGACCUCACGCUAUCAGAUGAGCCUAGGUCGGAUUAGCUAGUUGGUGGGGUAAAGGCCUACCAAGGCGACGAUCCGUAACUGGUCUGAGAGGAUGAUCAGUCACACUGGAACUGAGACACGGUCCAGACUCCUACGGGAGGCAGCAGUGGGGAAUAUUGGACAAUGGGCGAAAGCCUGAUCCAGCCAUGCCGCGUGUGUGAAGAAGGUCUUCGGAUUGUAAAGCACUUUAAGUUGGGAGGAAGGGCAGUAAGUUAAUACCUUGCUGUUUUGACGUUACCAACAGAAUAAGCACCGGCUAACUACGUG